GAUCUUUAGCGCAGUUGGUAGGUCGCGCCACUUAUAAGAAUGAGAAAUGCCGAGGUCGGGAGUUCGAUCCUUCCAUGGAGCG